CGCCCACANCGGGAAGCCAGGCGGCGACGCCGAGCGGAACCCGAAAAGGCGCCUCAGUUCGGAUUGGAGUCUGCAACCCGACUCCAUGAAGCUGGAUUCGCUAGUAAUCGCGCAUCAGCCACGGCGCGGUGAAUACGUUCCCGGGCCUUGUACACACCGCCCGUCAAGCCAUGGGAGCCGGGAGUGCCUGAAGUGCGCGGCCGCGAGGAGCGCCCUAGGGCAAGACUGGUGACUGGGGCUAAGUCGUAACAAGGUACC
rnacentral:rRNA from 1 species